AGAGUUUGAUCCUGGCUCAGGACGAACGCUGGCGGCGUGCUUAACACAUGCAAGUCGAACGGAAAGGCCCUUCGGGGUACUCGAGUGGCGAACGGGUGAGUAACACGUGGGUGAUCUGCCCUGCACUUUGGGAUAAGCCUGGGAAACUGGGUCUAAUACCGAAUAGGACCACGCGCUUCAUGGCGUGUGGUGGAAAGCUUUUGCGGUGUGGGAUGGGCCCGCGGCCUAUCAGCUUGUUGGUGGGGUAAUGGCCUACCAAGGCGACGACGGGUAGCCGGCCUGAGAGGGUGACCGGCCACACUGGGACUGAGAUACGGCCCAGACUCCUACGGGAGGCAGCAGUGGGGAAUAUUGCACAAUGGGCGCAAGCCUGAUGCAGCGACGCCGCGUGAGGGAUGACGGCCUUCGGGUUGUAAACCUCUUUCAAUAGGGACGAAGCGCAAGUGACGGUACCUAUAGAAGAAGCACCGGCCAACUACGUGCCAGCAGCCGCGGUAAUACGUAGGGUGCGAGCGUUGUCCGGAAUUACUGGGCGUAAAGAGCUCGUAGGUGGUUUGUCGCGUUGUUCGUGAAAACUCACAGCUUAACUGUGGGCGUGCGGGCGAUACGGGCAGACUAGAGUACUGCAGGGGAGACUGGAAUUCCUGGUGUAGCGGUGGAAUGCGCAGAUAUCAGGAGGAACACCGGUGGCGAAGGCGGGUCUCUGGGCAGUAACUGACGCUGAGGAGCGAAAGCGUGGGGAGCGAACAGGAUUAGAUACCCUGGUAGUCCAA
rnacentral:rRNA from 1 species